GCUCGGCUCUUAAGACGUGUGGCUGCCGACGCUCCUGGCCGAAUAAAAAACCUCUUCUUUAAUCCGGUGUCCGAGGAGUUUUGUCUGCGACUCGUCCUGCUACAUUUCUUGGUUACAAAAACCUCUUCCUUCUUUAAUCCGGUGUCUGAGGAGUUUUGUCUGCGACUCGUCUUGCUACAUUUCUUGGUUCCCUGACCGAGAAGCGAGGUGAUUGACGGACAGACGGUCGAGGCAGCCCCUUAGGCUGCUUAGGCCUGCCCUGUGGAGCGUCCUUGCGAGGGACUCUGGCCAGCUUGAGCGACGCGCAUCCUGAGAGCGCUCCUGGGUAGGCAAUUGCCCUACUGGAACACCUCGUCAGAGCGGUGUGUGGCAGGCCCCCGCGGAGGAUCAACGUGGUGGCUGAACACCGGGAAGGGACUGGCACUAUAAGUCGAGACGUCUGAAACUUGAAACUCAUUAAUCUUCAAAGGCUUCAAGAGUGGCACAGAUGAAUCCAAUAUUCCUAUAUGACCUACUUUACUGAACUGGAAAAACUGCAUGCUGACAGCACAAAUGAUCCGUAAGAAGAGAUGCAGGUUGUGUAUGUCAGCCUCGCAGAGAACUCUUUCCAAAUACCACUGGGAGAACCAGAGCAACAUGACAACUCCACGGUAUAGCCCAAAAUACUG
rnacentral:lncRNA from 1 species